rnacentral:pre_miRNA from 1 species
GUCUGAGGCUGGGUCUUUGUGGGCAAGGUGAGUUCCUCCCUGCCUUCAACUGGCCUACAAAGUCCCAGUUUUAGGC